CAAUAGCGUAUAUUAAAGUUGUUGCAGUUAAAAAGCUCGUAGUUGGAUUUGUGGCUGUCACGGGCGGCCUAUCACUUAGUGUUAGUGCUUGCCUGUGUCGCCAUCCUUGGGUGGAGCCCGUGUGGCAUUAGGUUGUCGUGCGGGGGAUGCCCAUCGUUUACUGUGAGAAAAUUAGAGUGUUCAAAGCAGGCUUAUGCCGUUGAAUAUGUUAGCAUGGAAUAAUAAGAUAGGACCUCGGUACUAUUUUGUUGGUUUGCGCACCGAGGUAAUGAUUAAUAGGGACAGUUGGGGGUAUUCGUAUUUCAUUGUCAGAGGUGAAAUUCCUGGAUUUCUGAAAGACGAACUACUGCGAAAGCAUUUACCAAGGAUGUUUUCAUUAA
rnacentral:rRNA from 1 species